ensembl:snoRNA small nucleolar RNA SNORA8
AGCACUGUAUGGUAUCUGCAGCCAGCUGAACCCAGGCUGGAUUGUUCAUUACACAGUGCAAUAUCAACUUGGCAUCUGGCAUCGUUGGUCCCCAUGCUCUCUGGUGCCUGGGGCCCUGGUAUUUGUGCCAAGACAAGU